rnacentral:rRNA from 1 species
GUGCCAGCCGCCGCGGUAAUACCGGCAGCCCGAGUGAUGGCCGAUAUUAUUGGGCCUAAAGCGUCCGUAGCUGGCCGAACAAGUCCGUCGGGAAAUCUACGCGCUCAACGCGUGGGCGUCCGGUGGAAACUGUUUGGCUUGGGGCCAGAAGACCUGAGGGGUACGUCCGGGGUAGGAGUGAAAUCCUAUAAUCCUGGACGGACCACCAAUGGGGAAACCACCUCAGGAGGAUGGACCCGACAGUGAGGGACGAAAGCUAGGGUCUCCAACCGGAUUAGAUACCCUUGUAGUCC